UUAACCUACGGGGGGCAGCAGUGAGGAAUAUUGGUCAAUGGGCUUACGCCUGAACCAGCCAAGUCGCGUGAGGGAAGACUGCCCUAUGGGUUGUAAACCUCUUUUGUCAGGGAGCAACGCCGGCUACGUGUAGCCGGACUGAGAGUACCUGAAUAAAAAGCAUCGGCUAACUCCGUGCCAGCAGCCGCGGGAAUACGGAGGAUGCGAGCGUUAUCCGGAUUUAUUGUGUUUGAAGUGUGCGUAGGCGGAAUGCCAAGUCAGCGGUAAAAUAGCGGGGCUCAACUUCGCU
rnacentral:rRNA from 1 species